GUCAGUCAUGUAAACUCAAACUGUAAACUUGUUCGUCUGUAUUUAAAGUAUUACCGUUUGAGGUUCUUGAAAAGUUUUCAAUGAAAAAUGCAACUGAUUAAACAAUCUGCGUUAUAUCUUUGUACAUAUUUUGUGCCAUCAUCAACAUAACGAAUUGUUUGUAUUUCUGUUUCAAAAUCGAGCGACGUUUAAUAUUAUGACUUCAUUUAGAUAAAUCCCAUUUCACCACCUACCUAUGUUGUCAUGACAACAACAGUGAAUCGAGAAGAAGGUUUGAAAGCUUUGGAAACAUCUAUCAAAGCCAUUGAAGAAGUCAUUAUGAGCAAGAAAGGAACAUUUGUUUUACAACAAGCUAACGUCGUGUAUUUCGGUGACGUCGACAUAAAAACUUGUGUUUUGUUGCUGUUGGCGAAAAAUACGGAAUCGUCGGAAUGAGGAAGUUGUAAAUUUUAUUAUAGUGUGUUUCAUUCAGCCUUCAGACGCGCGACUAAAGCGAUUGCCUAGUGUGUUUCAUUCAGCCUUCAGACGCGCGACUAAAGCGAUUACCUAGUGUGUUUCAUUCAGCCUUCAGACGCGCGACUAAAGCGAUUACCUAGUGUGUUUCAUUCAGCCUUCAGACGCGCGACUAAAGCGAUUGCCUAGUGUGUUUCAUUCAGCCUUCAGACGCGCGACUUAAGCGAUUACCUAGUGUGUUUCAUUCAGCCUUCAGACGCGCGACUAAAGCGAUUGCCUAGUGUGUUUCAUUCAGCCUUCAAACGCACGACUAAAGCGAUUGCCUAGUGUGUUUCAGCCUUAACUGUUCAAUCACGUUAGUUUGAUUUCGAUUUAAGUAAAUAAAAUAAUAAUGAACAAAAAUUAAAUUACAUAAACUCUU